rnacentral:rRNA from 1 species
UACAGAGGGGGCAAGCGUUGUUCGGAAUUACUGGGCGUAAAGGGCGCGUAGGCGGCCUGCUAAGUCGAACGUGAAAUCCCCGGGCUCAACCCGGGAACUGCGUCCGAUACUGGUUGGCUUGAAUUCGGGAGAGGGAUGCGGAAUUCCAGGUGUAGCGGUGAAAUGCGUAGAUAUCUGGAGGAACACCGGUGGCGAAGGCGGCAUCCUGGACCGAGAUUGACGCUGAUGCGCGAAAGCCAGGGGAGCAAACGGG